GGAGGUAUCGAUACAGAGCCGAGGCUGAAAAGGCAAGUUAAAUAUUUAUUUAUGUAAAUAAGAAUCUCAUAUGAGUGUAUCAAUGGUUGCAAGGUGUUAAUUUAACAUCAUGUAGGUCUUAAACAGCAGAAAUAUUAAAAUAAUGUUUUCUAAGCCUUACAUAUACUGGAGAUUGAUUGAUAUGAGUUUGACAUUGAUGUUACAUAAAGUCAGUCUAUUUCCUGUGGCUCCAUUAUGUGUUUAAGUUAUCUAAUUCCUCUGACCAACAUGGACCAUAUUUAUAGGAGGAACAGAUGAUGAAGAGUAGACCCAGAUUUAGGGUUUCUAUUCUAAUAUCUGAGUCUCUGAGACACAUAAUAGGCUGCAGAGUACACAUACACAGCGACCACAGCUUUUAACAGUACAACAAAAAGGGAGGCAACAAACUGCACUUUACUUAAAUUCUGUGUAACAUUUGAAAGUGCAUCUUGCAGUUGUGAAAUGAAAACACUGGCUGUAACUCUCCCUCUGUCCAUCAGAUGGUAGUGGUGCACAGCUACAGCCCCAACUGGCCAGAUGAGCUUGAGCUGUCUCCUGGUGACGUCAUCCUGGUGCUGUCCAAACAUGAGGAGGAGAGGUGGUUUGGGCGGCUGCAGGACGGCCAGCGGGGCUACUUCCCCGCCUCCUGUGUGAUGGAGCUGAGCCAGGGGAAUCUCCCUCCAAAAGCCCUACGAAGGACUUUAUAUCUGAGAAGCCCAGCCUGGGACAACGAUUCAGGCAUACGCAACAGACAUGGAAAUGGACACAUUCUGCAGGCGCUCAGGAGGGGGAGCAGAGGAGGUGGAGUAGGAGGAGGUGGGGGAGUGGGGCUGGAUGGGGGCCAAGGCGAGAAUGAGGGCCCCUUCCUGGUGCAGAGGCCCCAGAUCCCUGUGCCUCAGCCCGUGGCCUCCCAACCUCAGGCACACAGAUCCCCAGGCCUGCUCCACAGGAUCUUGUCCAAGUGCCGGAAAAAGAGUGAAUGCCAGGGAGCUACCAACGGGGCCUUCGAGGGCGACUAAGAGGCCCUCCUUUUUCUCCUGGGUGGCUGAGCCGAGUUCACAUUGGUGGGGCUGUGUUUGGGGGGGGGGUUAUGUGGGUGAAACCUCUGAAACAUGAAAAGACUGGUUUUGAAUAUCUUGAUUUUGGCAGGUAUUCAUCGUCAUAUCUGUACUUGAUUGAAUGACUGAGUGUAUAAUCCUAAAUCAGUGAUGUCACAGGAGGUGUUUUGCCCAUUUUAUCUAUGCCUGAUGUGACCUCACUGAUGGGGGGGGGUUUCAAUGUAUGCAGAGCCAAGCAGCUGCUGAUGUUUUUCAGCAUGGCAAGAUCAAAUGCCAGGCUCAUAAGCUUUAGAAAAAAUAUAUAAUAUAUAAUUAUUAACAAUCACUGCAAUCAUAUGUGUAACAAAGUAACAUAGGAGUUAGUGGCAAUCAAUGGAGCAAUAACUGAUGUUUCACCGGAAAAAUGUAGCCUUUUUCUACGACUUUGAAGCUGUUACUUGAGACAAAUUUAAUUUCCAUUGUCUGUGUGUAUUUUGUUCCAUCAUUCAUUUUCCUUAACUUCAUCUGCCCUCAUGAAUCUGUUAAUAUGUAUAGAUUGUGUUGCUUGAUAUGCAAUUAUUAUUAUGAUUAUAAAAGCAGUAAACCCUUACAGGCAUAACAUGUUUUUAUUUCAGUGGAAACAUGCCUCAGUAUGUUACCUCAUACUUCAGCUCCUGUUCAUUUUCUUUGAACACACUGGGCCUCCCUUCUCUUUAACAGUGCUGCGGGCAAAAGAAAACUCUCUCAAGCGAAAGGAAGUGUGAUUGAGGCCUGCUGAAAGCCUCGCCAAAGGACCAGGGAUUGUGCCGGUUGCCCCGGCAACGCUAAAGCAGCUCUCAGAUGUCGCAUGUAGUCUUCUUCCUCUUUGGUGCCUCCCAGCAUGUCCCCGUAGUGGAGUCUCUAUAGGGUGAGCUGUAGAUUACCUCCUUCCAGAGGACACAAAAAACCAAACCUAAUCCUAACCUUGGCCUUGACCUCCGUAGAGGGAAACACACUCCUCCUCCUCCCCCCACCGUUUGAUAUUCACUGGUGUAUAAUCCUUUGUAAUAAAGGCUGUAGGAGGCAGUCACUCUGGGGCCAGUGUUUGGGCGGCAUGUCUUGCACAGGGAAGGGUGUAAAUGUUACAAAGAGAGACAGCAUUGCUGGUCCUCUGAGCAAACUCUGAUUCAUUAGGAGAAUAUCUGAGUGGGCCCUUCGUAAUGUAAUAUCUGAAUGUCUCUUAAAGAGAUAUCCUGCACAAUAUGGAAGGAGAAUAAGUAAUUUAUCUUAAAAGUUCCAGAUUCCCUUUUCACCUUGGAAUAUUAGUGGUGGAUCAGUAUUCACUUAUAGGUGGUAGGUGAGAAUUCAGAUUCAGAUAAGGUCACAUAAUGUGCAGAUACAGUUUACUUUCAUUCUUACAUGAAAGUAAAUGAUCCACUGUAGGUGUUGCUUCAAAACAUGGCAAAUCUCCAGUCAAAUGGGAGCCUGACUUACAUCACAAGGCGCUGACACACACAAGUGGAAACAGUGACCUAUAUAGGGUGGAAAGGCCAGGGUCCAAUUUUAACACACACACAUGCGCACACACACACACACACACACACACACACACACACACACACACACACACACACACACACACACACACACACACACACACACACACACACACACACGCCACAUCAUUUCAGGGCUGUGGACUCUCCCGCCCAAAAGUGCCCUAUCCUUGCUGUGUUGUUGUGCUGGGUGUUUUCGGGGGGGAUGGGGGGGAAGAGAGGGG
ensembl:lncRNA